rnacentral:rRNA from 1 species
UACGUAGGGGGCAAGCGUUGUCCGGAUUUAUUGGGCGUAAAGAGCUCGUAGGCGGUGUGUCACGUCGGCCGUGAAAACCUGGGGCUUAACUCUGGGCGUGCGGUCGAUACGGGCAUCACUAGAGUUCGGCAGGGGAGACUGGAAUUCCUGGUGUAGCGGUGAAAUGCGCAGAUAUCAGGAGGAACACCGGUGGCGAAGGCGGGGUCUCUGGGCCGAUACUGACGCUGAGGAGCGAAAGCAUGGGUAGCGAACAGG